rnacentral:rRNA from 1 species
GACAGAGGGUGCAAACGUUGUUCGGAAUUACUGGGCGUAAAGCGCGUGUAGGCGGCUUUGCAAGUCGGAUGUGAAAGCCCUGGGCUUAACCUGGGAAGUGCAUUCGAAACUGCCGAGCUCGAGUCCUGGAGAGGAUGGCGGAAUUCUCGGUGUAGAGGUGAAAUUCGUAGAUAUCGAGAGGAACACCGGUGGCGAAGGCGGUCAUCUGGACAGUGACUGACGCUGAGACGCGAAAGCGUGGGGAG